rnacentral:rRNA from 1 species
UAGGGAGCGAGCGUUGUCCGGAAUUACUGGGUGUAAAGGGAGCGUAGGCGGGAUUGCAAGUUGGAUGUGAAAACUGCGGGCUCAACCCGGAGAGUGCAUUCAAAACUGCGAUUCUUGAGUGAAGUAGAGGCAAGCGGAAUUCCUAGUGUAGCGGUGAAAUGCGUAGAUAUUAGGAGGAACACCAGUGGCGAAGGCGGCUUGCUGGGCUUUUACUGACGCUGAGGCUCGAAAGUGUGGGGAGCAAA